GUGUUAAUUUUAAUUUACCUGGGUAAUAUUAGUUAAGGUCUUUAAACCCAAAGAAUUUGGCGGUAUUUCAUUCCAUUCAGAGGAACCUAUCUCGUAAUUGAUAGUACACGAUUAACUUUACUUGAUUUAUUUGUUUGUAUAUCUCCGUUAUCAGAAAAUCUUUUUGGAGUUAUAAUUUUCCUGUUUUCUCAUUAGAAAUUAUUUCAGGUCAAGGUGCAGCUUAUAAUCAAGUGUGUGAUGGGUUACAAUAAAUUUUUUUUAUUAUGGAUUUAAUUUUGAAAAUUUUUAAUGAAGGUGGAUUUGAUAGUAAUUUAAUUUAUUUAAUUUAAUUGAUAUUGGCUCU
rnacentral:rRNA from 1 species